rnacentral:lncRNA from 10 species
GAUCCAGCAUGCAUAUGAGCUCUAAGGCAGGACAGAGUGGCACUUUGGAGAACCCUCCACCGUCCUUAAACCAGCCCCACUUCCCACUUCCAGUUCUACCCACUCUUGGCUUAGGAAAUUUUCUCCUCUUUUUGCCCUGAAAAUUAGCCUUGGUGGCUGAGUUUUGCUUUUCAGGUUCUCAUUGCUAGUGCUUAUUUUGACGCUUAGUGACCAUCUCAUUCCUACUAUUGGCCCGCAGUAGGGAAUCAGACCUUUAGUAGACACGGAGCUCUUCAAAUACAGAGUGAACUUGGGGCAUCUGAUCAUGUGGGUCAAGAUGAACACUACAGAAUACAACUGAGAGCCACAUGCAGCACUGAGAAGUGAAGGAAUAUUUGGGAGGAUCAGAAGCUUGGUCCUGAUUUUGCCAUCAACAGGAACUUGAUGACUUCAAGGGAGUCCCCAAACCCUGGGUUUCUGUUUUCUCAACUCUAACAUGAGGGGCUAGAUGCAUCUGGUUUAGUUAGUCUCCAUGAUGGUUUAGUUCGUCUCCAUGAUCCUGUGAAUUUCAGAUGUUGAAAAUCUUCGGAAAAGCCCUGAAAGAUGAACAGUGGUCUCAAAUAGUCAAGACCCCCUGCUGGGAGGAGCUUCUAUCCUGCUCUGUGGAAGAAAUGGGCAUGCCAGAUGCCUG